rnacentral:pre_miRNA from 1 species
GCAAGCCGCGAGCUGUGCCGCCAGAUCCGGCGCGCUCGGGUGAGAUCGGCCGAGCUUCGAGCUCGCCGGAUCUGGCGGCGUAGCUCGCGGUUCGC